ACUAGAAAUUUACAUCAAAUAUACACCAUUUCCAAUUAUACGAGUGAAAUUGAUUUAACGUACGACAAAAUUAAGCGAGCACUGAGGGAUAUUUCGACCGGUGGUGGGCUCAAACCCUCGACUGCCGUAGUAACGACAGGUUUUUUUCUUUAUUUGAGCUAACAUCUCACACACGGGUGGCGCAAACUACAAUUCAUAGAUUUCUAAUUCACCUAGUAAUGGCAGAAUAUCGAAGAAUUUCAAAAGGCGAAAUGAAAUGUAUCCAUUUAUGUUAUAUUUAUUUUAGACCAAAAACGCUAAAGCCGACGUUUCAAAGGAGCGAAACCAUGCUGCCGCUACGGGGGGAGGACCGCCAUUGACUGAAAUGUCGCAGACCUCGCAGGCGGUGGCGAGUCUGUUUGCCCACUCGGCAUCGUUUCAUGGCGUCGUGGACGACGCAGAUACCGUCAUCGCGGUUACUCCUCCAUCGCCGGGAUUCCUGGGCCUGCCCAUAAUGGAGUUAUUAACCGCCAUGGACAUCCCGGAUCCCUUCGGUGUGGCGGAAACCUUUCAAGACAAUACGCCGAGAUGCCCGAGAAGCAAGGAAAACUCAAG